UGAUAGCGAAGGCACUUUUACUUGUCCCACACCUAAUACCGUGUACUCGUCUAACAAUUCGCCAGUUCUUGGCUUUUCAGAUGGCAUUUAUAUAGAGCUCGACAAGUCUCCGGCACAAUGCUUGCAACCGUACUCACAGGAAAGCGAAAAAGAAACAUGAGAGAAUGAUAUGAAUCACCUGUAAAAAAUUGAAUUACAUAAAUAACCAUAAUAAUUAAAAGUUCA